UACGUAGGGUGCAAGCGUUGUCCGGAAUUAUUGGGCGUAAAGAGCUCGUAGGCGGUUGUCGCGUUCUGCUGUGAAACUCGGGCUUAACUCGGCCUGCAGUGGUACGGGCAGACUAGAGUGCGGUAGGGAGACUGGAAUUCCUGGUGUAGGCGGUGAAAUGCGUAGAUAUCUGGAGGAAUACCGGUGGCGAAGGCGGCAAUCCUGGAC
rnacentral:rRNA from 1 species